AACGAACGCUGGCGGCAGGCCUAACACAUGCAAGUCGAGCGAGGACUUCGGGUCUAGCGGCGGACGGGUGAGUAAGGCGUGGGAAUGUGCCCUUCUCUACGGAAUAGCCCUGGGAAACUGGGAGUAAUACCGAAUACGCCCUAUUGGGGGAGGAUUUAUCGGAGAAGUAGGAGCCCUCGUUGGAUUAGGUAGUUGGUGGGGUAAUGGCCUCCCAAGCCGACGAUCCAUAGCUGGUUUGAGAGGAUGAUCACCAACACUGGGACUAGGAAACGGCCCGGACUCCUACGCGAUGGAGGAGUGGCUAAUCUUAGACCAUGGCGGGAAUCCUGAACGACCUCGGCUGCUUGAGUGAUGAAAGCAUUAGGGUUGUAAAGCUCUAUUAGCUGGGAACAUAAUGACGGUACCAGCAGAAGAAGCCACGGCUAACUCCGUG
rnacentral:rRNA from 1 species